rnacentral:rRNA from 1 species
UACCUGGUCGAUCCUGCCAGUAGUCAUAUGCUUGUCUCAAAGAUUAAGCCAUGCAUGUCUAAGUACAGGCCGAAAAUAAGGCGAAACCGCGAAUGGCUCAUUAAAUCAGUCAUAAUUUAUUGGAUGUUGACUUGAGUUUCACUCGAUACUUGGAUACCUGUGGUAAUUCUAGAGCUAAUACAUGCAACUAAGCCCCGACCUUGGGUUCGGCAACGGGCUCGGGGGAAGGGCGCUUUUAUUAGAUCACAAAACCGACUCGGAUCUCGGUCCGAUUCACAAAACUCGUGAUGAUUCUGAAUAACUCAGCCGAGCGCUUAGGUCCUUGCACCGGCGCCGUAUCCUUCGAGUGUCUGCCUUAUCAGCUCUCGAUUGUAAGUUAUAUGCUUACAAUGGCUGUAACGGGUAACGGGGAAUCAGGGUUCGAUUCCGGAGAGGGAGCCUGAGAAACGGCUACCACAUCUAAGGAAGGCAGCAGGCACGCAAAUUACCCACUCCCGGCACGGGGAGGUAGUGACGAAAAAUAACGAUGCGGGACUCAUCCGAGGCCUCGCAAUCGGAAUGAGUUUAGUUUAAAUCCUUGGACGAGGAUCAAUUGGAGGGCAAGUCUGGUGCCAGCAGCCGCGGUAAUUCCAGCUCCAAUAGCGUAUAUUAAAGUUGCUGCGGUUAAAAAGCUCGUAGUUGGACUUCUCUAUUCGUACCGGCGGCCCAUCCUAGGCGCGUUGUCCAGUGCGUCGUUGCCUCUCUUCCUGGCGUCUUUCGUUACGGCCGAGGCUGUCCCGUUCUUGGGUGAGCUGAGCUUGGGGUAACCUUUCUCCGCGCUUUCAGCCCUUGGACGAGUAGCAGUAGUGGUUAGAAUUUCGUAUAAUGGUUGCGGAGGUUUUCGGCAAAUUGAGUCAACACCGGUGGUUAACCGUCCGGUUUCGAAAUGAAUUAAAAUCGUCGGCUCUCGCGAGGUGCUCUUCGCCGAGUGUCUCGCGCGUGGCCGGCACGUUCACUUUGAAAAAAUUAGAGUGCUCAAAGCGGGCUAAAAACUUUUAAGCUCGAAUGGUGGUGCAUGGAAUGAAGGAAUAGGACCUCGGUUCUACUUCUUUUUGUCGGUUCUUCGGAAUCCGAGGUAAUGAUUAACGGGAACGGACGGGGGCAUUGGUAUUGCGACGCUAGAGGUGAAAUUCUUGGACCGUCGCAAGACUAACUACUGCGAAAGCAUUUGCCAAGAAUGUUUUCAUUAAUCAAGAACGAAAGUUAGAUGAUCGAAGGCGAUCAGAUACCGCCCUAGUUCUAACCGUAAACGAUGCAAACUAGCGAUCCGCCGGAGUCAUUUCCCACGACUCGGCGGGCAGCUCCCGGGAAACCAAAGUCUUUAUGUUCCGGGGGGAGUAUGGUUGCAAAGCUGAAACUUAAAGGAAUUGACGGAAGGGCACCACCAGGAGUGGAGCUGCGGCUUAAUUUGACUCAACACGGGAAACCUCACCAGGCCCGGACACCGGAAGCAUUGACAGAUUAAGAGCUCUUUCUCGAUUCGGUGGGUGGUGGUGCAUGGCCGUUCUUAGUUGGUGGAGCGAUUUGUCUGGUUGAUUCCGAUAACGAACGAGACUCUGCCCUAUUAAAUAGUCGUCCGAUAGACUCCUGAGAAGGGUUCCUCGUUGGGGUCGGUUCGUUGGCAUUAAGGUGAUUUGGUUGCGCGUUUCGGGGUUUCGGCUUCGGCUCGUGUGGCUUUUUGAUCCGUCACGUUCCGCGCUCUGCAGGUUUCCGACGAUGGGGCGUCCGACGCAAUGUCUUCUUAGAGGUAUCAGCGGUGGCCAGCCGCACGAGAUAGAGCAAUAACAGGUCUGUGAUGCCCUUAGAUGUUCUGGGCCGCACGCGCGCUACAAUGAAGGGAUCAGCGUGUUUUCCCCCUCCGAAAGGAGCGGGUAACCCUCUGAAACCCCUUCCCCGAUUGGGAUUGGGGCUUGCAAAUGUUUCCCAUGAACGAGGAAUUCCUAGUAAGCGUGAGUCAUUAGCUCGCGCUGAUUACGUCCCUGCCCUUUGUACACACCGCCCGUCGCUACUACCGAUUGAAUGAUUCAGUGAGGGCAUCGGACUGUCGCUCUCGGUAUCGCCUGCUAGUUCAGCAUUCAAACUUCUGAUCGUCGCUUCGGCGUUCGGUUAGGGGGCGGAUUAGUAUGGCGCCUUUGGGCUGAUAGAAAGAUGUCCGAACUUGGUCAUUUAGAGGAAGUAAAAGUCGUAACAAGGUUUCCGUAGGUGAACCUGCGGAAGGAUCAUUA